rnacentral:rRNA from 1 species
CGGUCCUAAGGUAGCGAAAUUCCUUGUCGGGUAAGUUCCGACCUGCACGAAUGGCGUAACGAUGGCCACACUGUCUCCUCCCGAGACUCAGCGAAGUUGAAGUGGUUGUGAAGAUGCAAUCUACCCGCUGCUAGACGGAAAGACCCCGUGAACCUUUACUGUAGCUUUGCAUUGGACUUUGAAGUCACUUGUGUAGGAUAGGUGGGAGGCUUUGAAGCAGAGACGCCAGUCUCUGUGGAGCCGUCCUUGAAAUACCACCCUGGUGUCUUUGAGGUUCUAACCCAGACCCGUAAUCCGGGUCGGGGACCGUGCAUGGUAGGCAGUUUGACUGGGGCGGUCUCCUCCCAAAGAGUAACGGAGGAGUUCGAAGGUUACCUAGGUCCGGUCGGAAAUCGGACUGAUAGUGCAAUGGCAAAAGGUAGCUUAACUGCGAGACCGACAAGUCGAGCAGGUGCGAAAGCAGGACAUAGUGAUCCGGUGGUUCUGUAUGGAAGGGCCAUCGCUCAACGGAUAAAAGGUACUCCGGGGAUAACAGGCUGAUACCGCCCAAGAGUUCAUAUCGACGGCGGUGUUUGGCACCUCGAUGUCGGCUCAUCUCAUCCUGGGGCUGUAGCCGGUCCCAAGGGUAUGGCUGUUCGCCAUUUAAAGAGGUACGUGAGCUGGGUUUAAAACGUCGUGAGACAGUUUGGUCCCUAUCUGCUGUGGGCGUUGGAGAUUUGACGGGGGCUGCUCCUAGUACGAGAGGACCGGAGUGGACACACCUCUGGUGUACCUGUUGUCACGCCAGUGGCAUCGCAGGGUAGCUAAGUGUGGAAGAGAUAACCGCUGAAAGCAUCUAAGCGGGAAACUUGCCUGAAGAUGAGAUCUCCCUGGGGACUCGAUCCCCCUGAAGGGUCGUCCAAGACCAGGACGUUGAUAGGCCGGGUGUGGAAGCGCAGUAAUGCGUGCAGCUAACCGGUACUAAUUGCCCGUGAGGCUUGACCCU